GGGGUGCAAGGUGGGAGUGAACGAGAAGACAUCUCAAAGGAACCUCAGUCCCGAUGGUGGUCUGGGUGGCUGCGAGGCUGGGCCGCUGGCAAGUGUCCUUUCCUCAGUGCUUGUGGAGAGGGAGUUUGUCCACUAGGGGGCGCCAUCUGCCCGUAGUUCUCCAUGAUCGGCUCAGACCCAUAGUCUGGCAUGAGUCACAGGGAAAUGGGUCCUCAACAGUGAUGUCACGCAGGUAAUCGGCAUACAGCUAGGACUCAAGUAGAGGAAUUCUAAGUCAUAUCUGUGACUCUCAACACCUCAUGAUGCUGCCUUUUUGCGUAAUGAAUACAUUGCCACCGGGACAAGGCAGGUGUGAGUUGGAAGGCAUCUCUGCCCCUUCCAGAAAGGCGGCUCCUGUUGUGGUGCAGACAUGGUCAGAGAGCCCAGGGAAGACCACACACGAUGUGGCAGCAAGUCAGAUAUUGAGUGGUGCCCCCAUCAUCCUUUGACAAUACAGAGAGCCCGAUGGGUUACUAGCAGCCACAUGAAGUAAAGGCCACCGACAGUCAACAGAUGCGUAAGAAAGCAACUCUCUUCCUCAAGUGCCCGUGGUGAGACAUGCUUCUGCAGAGACCAGGUCCCCUCUGCCCAUGCCAAUGAGAGCUGAGAGGCUGGAGACAUGUGUGCCUGAAGCAGAGGCUGUGGCAGUUUUUCCCAUUGUCCCCGUGGACGCUGCAGUUACCCAGACACCAAAACACCUGGUCACAGCGACAGGGAGUAAGGGGACCCUGAAGUGCGAACAACGUCUGGGACAUAACGCUAUGUACUGAUACAAACAGAGUGCUCAGAGGCCACCGAAGCUCAUGUUUGCCUACAGCUAUAAGGAACUCGCCGAAAAUGACAGUAUCCCCAGUCGCUUCACACCCGAGUGCUCAGACAGCUCCCACCUGCACCUUCACGUGGCCGCCCUACAGCCAGAGGACUCCGCCCUGUAUCUCUGUGCGAGCAGCAAGGACACAGCCCCGCACAGCCAACUGCUCCCCGUGCACAAACCUCCUGGGUGCAGCCGGGGAGCCGUGGGGGCGACCACGGCUCAGCUCGACAUCUCCAGUGGGACCCCAGACAGAAACCCCAGGCCACGGCGUGCCGGUCGGUUCGCUGGAUGCAGCAAGGCCCAGUUCCCUGCACAGACGCCCACAGCCUGUGGCCUGGCUCUGCCCGGGGCCAGACUGUGCCCGCGGCUGAGUGCGGGACGGAAAGGGUCCACCUCAAGUUCCUCCUGUAGCUUCCGAUCGGCACGUGACCCCGGGGACUCUUUCAGGAGACGCGCUACACUCUGGCCGCGGCGGCCCUGCCAAGCCUCCUGCUAACGUGUACCUUUCUCCGCCUGGUCCUUCCACCCAGGUGAGACCCUGGAUCUCAGCCCUGGUCCCAGCUCCAGACGCGCUCCGAGCCCCUUUGCAGAACACCUGCUUGCCUCACCACAGGGCCCCGUCAGUCCCUGCCACUGAGGAUAGUGGCUCCCUCGUGAGGUUUGGAUCGCUGUCCUCGAGGCCACUCUCUGCUGCACACCCGGGGACUCAGCUCUGCGCAGGCUCCUCUUCGUCUCGGGCUUUGACACUUUGAGGCUGGAUUCUUUUUCCUUCUGUCCCUUUAAUCCUAAUUCUUCAGGUCUCCACAUCCUGCGUUAUCAGCCAGAGAGCCUGAUGGCCCUGGAUCGUUGCCCGCAACAGGCAGGAAGGGGAGAAGGCCCCCAGCGUUUCAGAGCAGGACCGUAUACUCGGGGUUGUCUGUGCUGAACCCCAUAUUUUCUGACAUUGCCCCUUGCAAUGGCCUCAGUGCUGCACACACCUUGGGACCCCAAGGGCUGAGCAGAGCCCUGUGUCCUGGGGAGUCCGAUGCCGCACUGACACAAAGGCUCCCUCCUCUCUCCUGUAGGGGGCGCUCCAGGGGGAAGUGGGCGUUGCAGGAAAUGUAAUGCGUCAGUCAGACUGACUAGGAACCAUGGGAGCUCAGAAUUCUCCUGUUUCUGAUGCCCAGAAGCCUGUUCUAGGAGAGAACUCAUUCCUUCCCAAUCCCGUCAUGGAUUCCUGGCUCUUAUGUUGGGACACACAGAACCUGAAGUCAGGCAGACCCCCAGCCACCAGGUCACAGAGAUGGGGACAAGAGUAAUCCUGAGAUGUGACCCAAUUUAUGGGUUCUGUACAUUGGUACAGACAGAUCCUGGGACAGAAAGUGGAGUUUCUAGUUUUAUUCUACAAGGAUGAUCUCUUGGAGAAGUCUAAAGCAAUCAAGGAUCGAUUCUCGGGUCAAAGGCCUGAUGGAUCAUUCUCCACUCUGCGGAUCCAGCCCACAGAGCUGGGAGAUUCAGCCACGUACCUCUGUGCCAGCAGCUCAGCCACAGCCUUGCACAGACACCUCCAGCCUGCACACAAACCCUCUUUGUAUGUAUCUGCCUCUUUUCCAGCUACCAGAAUGCUUUUGCUGCCCAAGAAAGUCUGAUUUGACUUGAUUUUUCAGCUGUUUCCAAAUAGAUAUCUGAAAUUUAAUCACCAAAGUAGUUUAUCUUUGGCAGGAAUGGCCAGGGAGCAUUUUUUGCCAAAUUUUUAUAGGCACUACAGGGCUUGACUGUGGCCUCCAAAGAUGGGAGCGUUGUUGCCCAGGAAAAGACCAUCACAUGGCCUAUGUCUUCUCUUUACUUCCUUUUGCAUCUUGGAUUUUGUUUUGUUUUAGUAGCUUAGAAAAAACCAUUUUAACUCAUAGAAUCAGAAAUGGUUAUCAAGGAAGGGCUUUAGUAUUUCCAUAAGAGUAUAGAGGAUUUCCAACAGUAAAUCUUCAGAAGGACGUGCAGUUCAGCAUAAGGGCCUGGACUGUCGAUGAGUCUUUCCCAGUUAAGUACUUGAUGCGUUUGGGGAAAUGAUGUUAACUCACAUGAGAAUGAGUUAAGAGAACAGUAACAAUGGAGUCCGCUAUUGGGACAAGGCCAGCAGAGGUCUAAACCAGUGAGAGAACCACCAGAAUAUAGCAGGACAGGGCAGGAUCGAAUUCAGCAGCAAAAAUCAAGUAGCAUCUAGAAGCAGAGCAUGAAUGAACUUGUCACCCUGAACUUGACAUGGGGCAUCCAGAUUAACUUCCUGGGUUUUGAGUAAGAUCUCAGUGUUCUUGAAGGCCUGGAGCAGGAAAGGCAGAGUGAAGACUUCAAUAGAAAAGAAUGAAUUUCCUCAUAAUAAGUCAGGAUGAGCUCAAGCAAUGAAUAGAGGCGAAAAAAGUGUGAGCAGAUCAUAUCAGUUAUAAACACAUGAAAUAUUCAUUUACUCAAGUUAUAUCCAUGCCAGCACCACCAUCUACAGGGUCUUCGACAGGGUCAUCUACAGCACCACCUUCUACAGAAUGACUUUCCCCCUGACAUGAAUCCCACCAACUUUGCAGACCAAAGGAUGCCAUUUUACAGCUAAGGAAAUGAAAUCAUGGACCUGUAGUGGUGGGAUCCAUUCUUGUUUUCAUGUACUACAUCCUUCAGAAGCAUCUUACCUUGUAGAAAUGAAGAAAGGACCUUGUAAAGGUUUGGCUAAGGGGCUAGCUCAGAUAUAAUACCCUCAAGCUCGGGAGAUACUUUCUAGGAUGUGGUAUGACUUGUACAGAGGGCUGAGAUAUGGAACUAUGUACUCGAUCCAUGAAUCCAGAAGCCAAAGGGUGGGGGGAGGAUGGGUAUCCCUCUCAUUACCACUCCCAGUGAGCCAGCUGCAAAUCCAGGCUUCUUUUCCCUGUAUUUUUAGGGUCUUCUAGAUAAAAAGUUCUGAUUCUUUAAGACAGGGGUGCUUCCACCACAGGACAUAUGAACAUAAACUAUGACGGUACCUGGUCUUUUGGGGCUCCUUUUGAUGGAAGCCCAAUAGGUAAGGAUGGAGGUAUUGAUCUUGACUAUCAUGAGGUGAUAGAGUUGCUCCUACAUAAUGGAAACAGGGAAAGGUUUACCUGGAAUUCAGAGAACUAGUUCAAACAUCUCUUGGUGCCUAAAUUCCUGGUGAUAAUGACAGUUCUGCAAUUGCAACCAUUUUGGCCUGACAAAGUAAAUGUACCUAAGGGACUCAAAACCCUCAGAGACGAAUGUCUGGGUCACCCCACAAAACAAACAUCUUAGACCACAGAAGUGCUAAGCAAAGUUGGAGAAAAUCUAGAAUUGGUGAUAAGGGAGAUAAUAAAUCUCAGUAAUGGCUUUGUGUACAGUAAGAGCAGCAGUCCUAUAGCCCUAACCCUGUAUUUGUACAGAUUGCAGCUGAACCCCACCUUGAAGACCUUAUUAUUUGGACUUGAAACAAUGCAGGGUGUAGACUAUUUGAAAUGCCUCGAUUGUAUCACCACCUAUCUUCCUGGCUUCCCCGCUGAUUCCAGCCACAACUAUUUCAUGCAGCUAUUCCAAGCAGACAUUGACCCCUUCAUAUGGAUUAAACCUCCUCUUAAAUAUGGGCAGUGUAUCUAGCUUUCUUCCUGUAGUGCUCUGUGGCUGUGGUUGAGACACAUGAAUGGCCUACUAGAAGCUUAUACAUGCACGACCCAGAAGUGUCAGGGUGUUAAUGCUCUAUGGGACAAUCCCCAACCAAUGGGGGGAUGAGAACGAAUAAAUAAAGCUUUGUGGGGGCGCCUGGGUGGCACAGUCGGUUGAGCGUCUGACUUCAGCCAGGUCACGAUCUCGCGGUCCGUGAGUUCGAGUCCCGCGUCAGGCUCUGGGCUGAUGG